rnacentral:rRNA from 1 species
GAUGAACGCUGGCGGCGUGCCUAAUACAUGCAAGUCGAGCGAACAGAUGAGGAGCUUGCUCCUCUGACGUUAGCGGCGGACGGGUGAGUAACACGUGGAUAACCUACCUAUAAGACUGGGAUAACUUCGGGAAACCGGAGCUAAUACCGGAUAAUAUAUUGAACCGCAUGGUUCAAUAGUGAAAGACAGUUUUGCUGUCACUUAUAGAUGGAUCCGCGCCGCAUUAGCUAGUUGGUAAGGUAACGGCCUACCAAGGCAACGAUGCUUAGCCGACCUGAGAGGGUGAUCGGCCACACUGGAACUGAGACACGGUCCAGACUCCUACGGGAGGCAGCAGUAGGGAAUCUUCCGCAAUGGGCGAAAGCCUGACGGAGCAACGCCGCGUGAGUGAUGAAGGUCUUCGGAUCGUAAAACUCUGUUAUUAGGGAAGAACAAAUGUGUAAGUAACUAUGCACGUCUUGACGGUACCUAAUCAGAAAGCCACGGCUAACUACGUG